rnacentral:rRNA from 1 species
GGCGAACGCUGGCGGCGUGCUUAACACAUGCAAGUCGAACGGUGAAGCGCCUUCCUUUUUGGUGGGUGUGGAUGAGUGGCGAACGGGUGAGUAACACGUGAGUAACCUGCCCCCUUCUUCUGGAUAACCGCAUGAAAGUGUGGCUAAUACGGGAUAUUCUGGGUCUGUCGCAUGAUGGGUCUGGGAAAGAUAUUGUUUCGGUGGGGGAUGGGCUCGCGGCCUAUCAGCUUGUUGGUGGGGUGAUGGCCUACCAAGGCGGUGACGGGUAGCCGGCCUGAGAGGGUGGACGGUCACACUGGGACUGAGACACGGCCCAGACUCCUACGGGAGGCAGCAGUGGGGAAUAUUGCACAAUGGGCGCAAGCCUGAUGCAGCGACGCCGCGUGAGGGAUGGAGGCCUUCGGGUUGUGAACCUCUUUCGCCAGUGAAGCAGGCCUGCCUCGUUUGUGGGUGGGUUGACGGUAGCUGGAUAAGAAGCGCCGGCUAACUACGUG